CGAAAAAGUAGAACUGUGUGAAGCAGU
rnacentral:piRNA from 1 species